rnacentral:rRNA from 1 species
AUACGGAGGAUGCGAGCGUUAUCCGGAUUUAUUGGGUUUAAAGGGAGCGUAGGUGGGAUAUUAAGUCAGCUGUGAACGUUUGGGGCUCAACCUUAAAAUUGCAGUUGAUACUGGUUUCCUUGAGUACGGUACAGGUGGGCGGAAUUCGUGGUGUAGCGGUGAAAUGCUUAGAUAUCACGAAGAACUCCGAUCGCGAAGGCAGCUCACCGGGCCGGAACUGACACUGAUGCUCGAAAGUGCGGGUAUCAAACAGGAUUAGAUACCCUGGUAGUCCACACAGUAAACGAUGAAUACUCGCUGUUUGCGAUAUACAGUAAGCGGCCAAGCGAAAGCGUUAAGUAUUCCACCUGGGGAGUACGCCGGCAACGGUGAAACUCAAAUGAAUUGGCGGGG